rnacentral:pre_miRNA from 1 species
UCUUAUGAAUGAGCAAACAAUGUGGUUUCUUGAGAUAGAAUCUACUUCUGGUGGAGAUGCUAUGAA